rnacentral:rRNA from 1 species
ACGACCAUACCUACUGGAAAACUCGGGAUCCCGUCCGCUCUCCCAUAGAUAAGCCAGUGAGGGCCAGAUUAGUAGUUGGGUCGGUGACGACCAGCGAAUCCCUGGUGUUGUAUGUU